UCGGCCGCUAAGAGUGCGACACUGAGCUGUUCCUGUGUCACAGGCGUUCUUAAAGUUCUCAUGGAGCAGUGCGCAGUGCUCCGAUUCCUGGCAGGCCUCGGCAGCCGCGACGCAGUCAGCCUUCCUUACAGCCAGUGAAGACGAAUCUCUCCUUGGGAACCAUCGGGGAACAUUUGACCUUGGCGCCAGAUUGGAGGGCAGUGGCAGAGAAGAGAAGUUCUCUAGAACAUCCUGUAGAAUCCUUCCAGCCGUGAUGAUGGAGACCCCGGUAAUGUUAGAACAUUGCCACUGCCUUCUCCCAGAACACUCUGUGGGGGACAGGGUUGGCUUUUAGAGAAUGCUAAAAUACUCUCAUUGAUAUUAACUCAGCUACUCCAAUAUUUAGAUGACUUUUGUUGCUGUUUGACAAAUACUGGACAUUGAUAGACCGCUCUUAUCCAACCGCCCUCCUACAACAACAAAACAAAACAAAGAAUUGGGGGCAUAAAACAGGCCCAAGAUUUCGUGGGAUUAUGAGAGCAGCUAACCCCAUCAUUGUUCCCAGAGGUUGAAAAAUCAGGUAACUCCAUUUUUCUCCCACCCGGCACUUUUUAUCUGGAAAAGCAGUUUCUGGGUGUGGCUAAACCAUGGGCUCCUCCUUCCAACCAUCAAUCUUAAAAGCUCUCAGACUCUGCAGCCAGUGUAACUAAUCUUCUGCACCUCCAGAAUGCUCAGCGACUGGGCCUCUGACUGCUUCCUCUUAGACCCGAAGUCUGCUCUCGCAGGCUAAGGUGAGACUGAGUUUUCGUUUUCUCAUCUCCCUCCCUCUGCCUGCUCACUUCUUACAUGUUCUUGCAGUUACUACAAUCUUUGCUGUAAUCCCGCCCCUCUCUUCGAACGUUUGCACUACACGAGCUUUUAAAAUAUUUUAAUUUGUCCACGACACAGUGGGAAUAAAAAUAGUACGCAAAAUAUAUUAUAAAUGUACAAAUGAGACUUUUUGAUCACAGAUAUUUUUCUAUUUCGUCAUGGAUGACUUAACACGAUUAAAGUGAUACUUUAAUUUGUAAAAUUUUAGUCGUGUUCUGAGAAGUAUACUUGUAGGAUUUGUAGGGAAAAAUAAUAAUUUCAAGUUUUGGGAAAGCCACUCUCAAUGUUAUUAUAUAAGGGUCCAUUAAUAAUUAAGAGAACUGUUUUGCAACGAAGUUUACUGACAAUAAGCCAAGUGAGAAUCAAGAUGAAGCGGAGGUUUUCAAAGUAAAAAUAAUUUAGCUCCUAUGGUUCUAGAAGAUAACACUAAGUCUCAUUGCUUUGUUGGGAAAAAGAAAUCUUUUGGAUGGACUUUACACAUUGAGGUGUUUACCUGAGACAAGGCAGGCGUCUUCCAUUGAUCUCCAUGACUGCUUACAGCCAUCUGUAUCAGUCAAGCAUUGCCGCAUGAAAUAUGCACAAUCAUUUGUUUGGGAAGAGGAUUCGUUUUCUGAGCUUAGCCUCACGGCUUGAACAACGGUGACAACAAUAACAAGAAAACAACAUGUUUGCAAUGUUACAGUUUGUGGAAAUCAGUGAGGAAGAUUCUCAAGCAAACAAACAAACAAAUGCCCCCAACUGGACCUGGACUGAGCUCUACCAUUCCUGGGUCUACAACCAAAGAAUUCUCAGUCCACAAACCACAGAAACACUUACAGAUCCUUGCUUG